AUGCCGGCGAUGGCCGUGGACAAGCAGCGGCUGCUUCCUCUCUUCGUUCUUGCUUUAGUGACGCCGGCCUGCUUGGCGAGUGGCGGAGAGGAGCCGGCGAGGUUCCAGAUCCCCCAAGACGGGAGCGUGGUGGAGCUGGACGAAGGCAACUUCGAGGCGGCGCUGGCCGCCGUCGAUUUCCUCUUCGUGGACUUCCACGCCCCGUGGUGCGGCCACUGCAAACGCCUCUCCCCGCAGUUGGAUGAAGCUGCUCCGGUUCUUGCUGGGCUGAGCACGCCAAUUGUAGUCGCGAAAGUAAAUGCAGAGAAGUACAAAAAGCUUGGGUCCAAAUAUGGAGUAGAUGGCUUCCCUACUCUUAUGCUUUUUGACCAUGGAGUCCCCACAGAGUACACUGGUUCAAGGAAGGCCGGCCAGCUCGUUGAGAGCCUGAGGAAGCUUGUCGCACCUGAUGUUUCUGUUCUCAAGUCCGACGCGGCAAUCAAAAGUUUUCUCCAGGAAGCUGGUGUGGGUUUUCCAUUAUUUAUUGGAUUUGGGGUGGAUGAAUCCUCCAUUGCCGAGUAUGGAGCAAGGUACAAGAAGAAGGCAUGGUUUUCUACAGCAAAUGAUUUCUCUGAGGAUUUGAUGGCCGUGUAUGAUUUUGACAAGAUUCCAGCAUUGGUUUCGCUCAACCCAAAAUAUAACGAGCAGAGUGUUUUUUAUGGCCCCUUUGAAGGAACCUUUUUGGAGGAUUUUAUACGGCAAUCCCUGCUUCCGAUAACUGUGCCCAUCAAUGAAGAGACUGUUAAGAUGCUAAAAGAUGAUGAUAGGAAAGUUGUCCUUGCAAUUCUGCAGGAUGAAUCUGAUGAAACUUCCAUGCAGUUGAUAAAAGUUUUAAGGUCUGCAGCCAAUGCAAACCAUGACCUGGUGUUUGGAUAUGUGGGAGUCAACCAAUGGGAGGAAUUCACUGAGCCUUUCCAUGAUUCUAAGAGCUCACAGCUGCCAAAGUUGGUAGUCUGGGACAAAGAUGAGGAGUAUGAAGUGGUUGAGGGUUUAGAGAGUUUGGAAGAAGGUGACCACGGAUCCCAAAUUAGUCGUUUCCUCGAGGCAUAUAGAGCUGGAAGAACAAUAAAGAAGACAUUGGGCAGACGCUCCCCAACGCUGCUCGGUGUGAAUGCGUCGUACAUCCUCCUCUUCUUGGUGGCUGUGCUUGUUGUUCUGAUGUUUUUCUCUGGGCAAGGCGAGGAAGAUCGCCAGCCAACACGAGCCCAUCAAGAAUGA
rnacentral:rRNA from 1 species